rnacentral:rRNA from 1 species
CCUACGGGAGGCAGCAGUGGGGAAUAUUGCACAAUGGGCGCAAGCCUGAUGCAGCCAUGCCGCGUGUGUGAAGAAGGCCUUCGGGUUGUAAAGCACUUUCAGCGGGGAGGAAGGCGGUGAGGUUAAUAACCUCAUCGAUUGACGUUACCCGCAGAAGAAGCACCGGCUAACUCCGUGCCAGCAGCCGCGGUAAUACGGAGGGUGCAAGCGUUAAUCGGAAUUACUGGGCGUAAAGCGCACGCAGGCGGUCUGUCAAGUCGGAUGUGAAAUCCCCGGGCUCAACCUGGGAACUGCAUUCGAAACUGGCAGGCUAGAGUCUUGUAGAGGGGGGUAGAAUUCCAGGUGUAGCCGUGAAAUGCGUAGAGAUCUGGAGGAAUACCGGUGGCGAAGGCGGCCCCCUGGACAAAGACUGACGCUCAGGUGCGAAAGCGUGGGGAGCAAACAGGAUUAGAUACCCGUGUAGUC